GACGGAGGAUGCAAGCGUUAUCCGGAAUGAUUGGGCGUAAAGCGUCCGCAGGUGGCAGUUCACGUCUGCUGUCAAAGACCGGGGCUUAACUUCGGAAAGGCAGUGGAAACUGAACAGCUAGAGUAUGGUAGGGGCAGAGGGAAUUCCUGGUGUAGCGGUGAAAUGCGUAGAGAUCAGGAAGAACAUCGGUGGCGAAGGCGCUCUGCUGGACCAUAACUGACACUCAGGGACGAAAGCUAGGGGAGCGAAUGGG
rnacentral:rRNA from 1 species